UGGGGAAUAUUGGGCAAUGGCCGAAAGGCUGACCCAGCGACGCCGCGUGUGAGAGGAAGCCCUUCGGGGUGUAAACCACUGUCAGGAGGGACGAAAGAGCUCAUGGUGAAUAAUCAUGGGCAGUGACGGUACCUUCAAAGGAAGCACCGGCUAACUCUGUG
rnacentral:rRNA from 1 species